rnacentral:rRNA from 1 species
GAUGAACGCUGGCGGCGUGCCUAAUACAUGCAAGUCGAGCGAACAGACGAGGAGCUUGCUCCUCUGACGUUAGCGGCGGACGGGUGAGUAACACGUGGAUAACCUACCUAUAAGACUGGGAUAACUUCGGGAAACCGGAGCUAAUACCGGAUAAUAUAUUGAACCGCAUGGUUCAAUAGUGAAAGACGGUUUUGCUGUCACUUAUAGAUGGAUCCGCGCCGCAUUAGCUAGUUGGUAAGGUAACGGCUUACCAAGGCAACGAUGCGUAGCCGACCUGAGAGGGUGAUCGGCCACACUGGAACUGAGACACGGUCCAGACUCCUAAGGGAGGCAGCAGUAGGGAAUCUUACGCAAUGGGCGAAAGCCUGACGGAGCAACGCCGAGUGAGUGAUGAAGGUCUUCGGAUCGUAAAACUCUGUUAUUAGGGAAGAACAAAUGUGUAAGUAACUAUGCACGUCUUGACGGUACCUAAUCAGAAAGCCACGGCUAACUACGUG